rnacentral:rRNA from 1 species
GAUGAACGCUGGCGGUAUGCUUAACACAUGCAAGUCGAACGGUCUCUUCGGAGAUAGUGGCGGACGGGUGAGUAACGCGUGAGAAUCUAGCUUUAGGUCGGGGACAACCACGGGAGACUGUGGCUAAUACCGGAUAUGCCGAGAGGUGAAAGGCUUGCUGCCUAAAGAUGAGCUCGCGUCUGAUUAGCUAGUAGGUGUGGUAAAAGCGCACCUAGGCGACGAUCAGUAGCUGGUCUGAGAGGAUGAUCGGCCACACUGGGACUGAGACACGGCCCAGACUCCUACGGGAGGCAGCAGUGGGGGAUUUUCCGCAAUGGGCGAAAGCCUGACGGAGCAAUACCGCGUGAGGGAGGAAGGCUCUUGGGUUGUAAACCUCUUUUCUCAGGGAAGAAAAAAAUGACGGUACCUGAGGAAUAAGCAUCGGCUAACUCCGUGCCAGCAGCCGCGGUAAUACGGAGGAUGCAAGCGUUAUCCGGAAUGAUUGGGCGUAAAGGGUCCGCAGGUGGCAAUGUAAGUCUGCUGUUAAAGAAUCUAGCUCAACUAGAUAAAAGCAGUGGAAACUACACAGCUAGAGUGCGUUCGGGGUAGAGGGAAUUCCUGGUGUAGCGGUGAAAUGCGUAGAUAUCAGGAAGAACACCAGUGGCGAAGGCGCUCUACUAGGCCGCAACUGACACUGAGGGACGAAAGCUAGGGGAGCGAAUGGGAUUAGAUACCCCAGUAGUCCUAGCCGUAAACGAUGGAUACUAGGCGUGGCUUGUAUCGACCCGAGCCGUGCCGGAGCUAACGCGUUAAGUAUCCUGCCUGGGGAGUACGCACGCAAGUGUGAAACUCAAAGGAAUUGACGGGGGCCCGCACAAGCGGUGGAGUAUGUGGUUUAAUUCGAUGCAACGCGAAGAACCUUACCAAGACUUGACAUGUCGCGAAUCCCGGUGAAAGCUGUGAGUGCCUUCGGGAGCGCGAACACAGGUGGUGCAUGGCUGUCGUCAGAUCGUGUCGUGAGAUGUUGGGUUAAGUCCCGCAACGAGCGCAACCCUCGUUUUUAGUUGCCAGCAUUAAGAUGGGCACUCUAGAGAGACUGCCGGUGACAAACCGGAGGAAGGUGGGGAUGACGUCAAGUCAGCAUGCCCCUUACGUCUUGGGCUACACACGUACUACAAUGCUACGGACAAAGGGCAGCUACACAGCGAUGUGAUGCAAAUCUCAGAAACCGUAGCUCAGUUCAGAUCGCAGGCUGCAACUCGCCUGCGUGAAGGAGGAAUCGCUAGUAAUUGCAGGUCAGCAUACUGCAGUGAAUUCGUUCCCGGGCCUUGUACACACCGCCCGUCACACCAUGGAAGCUGGUCACGCCCGAAGUCGUUACCCCAACUUUUCGGAGAGGGGGAUGCCGAAGGCAGGACUGGUGACUGGGGUGAA